AGCAGGGCAGAGCAGUUCGGAGUGCUCGCGGGCCUCAUAAGCCCGAGAUCGCGGGUUCAAAUCCCGCCCCUGCCA
rnacentral:tRNA from 1 species